AAGAACAGCAGGCUCUGGCUAGCAGCACUGGGACCAAGCAUUUGGCUUUUGGGAGGGGAGGAGGGAGAGCGGGCGGCUGUGCUGGAUGACAUCCUGAAGCAGGGCGUUGUUAAAGAUUCUCUGUGCUAUGUAGAAAUAGUGCAAGACUGGCCCCAUGGAGCCUCUGACAUGCUUUCUUCCAGCAGGGAUGCAUGCGAGGCAACAAUGUAUGUAUGUAUGUAUGUAUGUAUGUAUGUAUGUAUGUAUGUAGCACGUGUGACCAGCGAUAUACUCUUUCUCCGUGUCUUUGUCUCGCUCUUGUUCUUGAAACAGGGCCCUGUUCUGUAGUCCAGGCAUGCUUGACACUCAACAUGAAGCCCCAACGGCCUCAAGCAUGGAACGACCCUCUUCCUUCAGCCUCCCAAGUAACGGUGAGCCACCAAGUCGAGUUCUAAGUUCUUUCUUCUUUUAAGAAAUGGUGGCACGAUGAGCUCUGAAGAAAGAACAAGCUACAAACUCAUGGGGACGGCCCUGCCAGGACGUCCUGGAGCUGCCUCUCCAGUGCCUGGAGCAGCCCAGCACUCGAGGCACCAGGGAGCUGGGAGCUUGGGCCGAAGGGGCAGCAGACGCUGCAGAACGCACUGGGCUCUGGUCAGCAUGCAGGCCCGGAUCGACAUUCCAAGAUUUCCUCCCACUCUGUCUUCACAAGUGGGUCCUCCAUGGUCGAAACACCACAGCGUUUGAAGUUGAAGAACAAGCAAACGAAAGGUUUGAUGUCUGACGUUCAGAGUGAACAAAGUGUACCAGGGGAGGCAAGAUGUCCCUUCGGACACUGAAGAACUGCUACACCCCCAUGCAGAGAUGGGCCACGUGUAAGACUCCUGACUAGCCCGAGUGGCGAUCGUUUGGUGUCAGUUCUCGGCUGGCUAUCACUGUUAUUUUGGUGGUCAGCUGGAUGCAGACUCUCUUAUUUGAGGAAAAAGAUUAAAACAAAACACUGGGGAAUCAAUAGUCUGAAUGAGGUAAGUGUUUUCUGUGUCAGUGUAUCAUAGGACUUGGAACUAACUGUAUUUGCUCACUAUGUUUGGAGAGAGACAUACAAAGUAACCAAACCAAUACAAAACAGGUGAGGUAGCAAAACACACUGGCAGGUGAAGGAGUAACAAAGGAGUAACACGGACAGCUCGGUGCCAGUAGCCAAUCGAUCCUCUUUGACAGGGAUCGUGGUAGCCGAAAAAGGGAGAUCGAUGUACAGUUACCUGGGGACAUUGCUGUCAUGGAGAGCCGUGAAUGACAAAGUCCUUGGGCCGUAGAGAGUCUACUCUGCUUAAGGAAUGCCACAGAGCCAUGUAGGCCUGGACUAGUAGGAAGAUGUUGAGGGGAGGAGGUUGGGAGAACAGAAGCUGCUCAGCCAGCAUCCGUCUAUACGCGUGGGGGAACAGUCCAGGGUCUUCGCAGAGGAUUUACGCUGCCUGUGGAACAUUCACAUCCUGUGUCCCGUAUGAUGGGAGUCUGAACCUAGCAAAAGUUAUGGAGCCCCAGCUGGUCUUUGAUGCUGCUCGCUGCUGUCAACACUUAAACAUGGCAUUUUAGCUCAAGGUCUGUCCUUCCCAUAGGUCCUCUUCUCCGGUUGACUUUCCGUCCUUCUGGCUGGCUCGAGUCGCUCAUCUCGUGGGCACAAAGUGCAGCUCUUGCUCCAGAGGAAGUAGGAACAGUUUAUUCUGAGCCAAAUCUGAGUACCACAGUGCAGGGAAAUCGAUUCAGGUUGCUCCAAAGGAUAUGUUGCACCAGGGCAGUGGUUUUGCAAAGUCUUUAUAGGUGUAGAAUAAAAGACAGUUAGAAAUCAAGGCUUUUGAUAGACACGUUAGCGGGGACACCGGGUGGGUGAUUGACAGGAAAGCAGGGCCCUCAGAUGCCGUCUGGUGACGUGCUUGUCUUUCUGGCUGGCAGAAGGUGGUGUUCUGCUAAAUUAAUACAUCCCAAUGCUUUAGCUUGAUAGUUGAAAGGACUCAGGCACGGGGGAGGGAGGGACACUAAAUAGCGAUUAAGGGAACUAAUGACAGCCCCAAAUAAUUCUGACUCUAGAUCUGCCACCUUCCAACUCUCCACAGCAACAGAUUUCUAACUGACCAACCAAUCUGAAGCAUCUUCAACGGAAGUAUGGCUGGUCACAAUACAGAACUUCGGGCCAACUCAACUCUGCAGACAGCUGGGGCAAGAAAGACAGGACAGUCCCCACAGACUACGCUGUGAUGGAUCAAGUCACAGCUGGAGGCACAUGUGGUCUUUUUCCAAGAGGAAGGGACCACUGUUGGCCAGCCCUUUUACAGUCCCGUCAGAUUCAUGCAGAACCGUAAGGUGGAACCAAACGACACAUACUGCCAUUCCGUAAAAUGCGAGGAGGGGGAGAAGCCACAGCUUCCUCUUUCACUAGCUGUGAGACCAUCUGGGCCUGCAUCUCGAUGGCUCUGCCAUUGGAGAACGCUGUGCAAGCAGAGUACACACAGUGGCUGCCCUGGAGACUCCACCCCUACAUGGAUUUCUUGCAUUUUCUUGGAGUUGCCUGAAGCCUUGAGCCUUGAUGUGACCAGCGGUAUCUGUCUUGUGCUUCCCGCUGUCUGCUUGCUACAUGCUGACUGAAGGAGAGGUGGAGGGACAGAUCGUCGAGGUUCUUGUGGUGUAAGGGAAUGAGGUCCCAGCUGUCUUCCAGCAUAAAGAAGAAGAACAUGGAGUACCGGGAUCAGUCAGGGCCUUUGCUGUCCAUGGGAGGAGGGUUAGUCUCACAGGAUAGCACUGCUCUGGAGACAUGAAACCGUGAAAACUUUACCCACCCCCCCC
rnacentral:sRNA from 1 species